rnacentral:ribozyme from 13 species
AGAACAACAGAAUGAUACGAAAGAAUUUAUGGAUAAAUUGCUUGAUCGAGUAUGCACUUUUUUGUUCUCAUCGAUUUUUUUGUUUGUUCAAUUUUUUUCUCUCUCACCCAUUUCUUCUUGCUUGUUUCUCAUCAUUUCUG